rnacentral:rRNA from 1 species
UACGUAGGGUGCAAGCGUUGUCCGGAAUUAUUGGGCGUAAAGAGCUCGUAGGCGGUUUGUCGCGUCUGCUGUGAAAACUCGGGGCUUAACCCCGGGCCUGCAGUGGGUACGGGCAGACUAGGGUGCGGUAGGGGAGACUGGAAUUCCUGGUGUAGCGGUGAAAUGCGCAGAUAUCAGGAGGAACACCGGUGGCGAAGGCGGGUCUCUGGGCCGUAACUGACGCUGAGGAGCGAAAGCGUGGGGAGCGAACAGG